rnacentral:rRNA from 1 species
AGCGUACACGGUGGAUGCCCUGGCAGUCAGAGGCGAUGAAGGACGUGCUAAUCUGCGAUAAGCGUCGGUAAGGUGAUAUGAACCGUUAUAACCGGCGAUUUCCGAAUGGGGAAACCCAGUGUGAUUCGUCACACUAUCAUUAACUGAAUCCAUAGGUUAAUGAGGCGAACCGGGGGAACUGAAACAUCUAAGUACCCCGAGGAAAAGAAAUCAACUGAGAUUCCCCCAGUAGCGGCGAGCGAACGGGGAGGAGCCCAGAGCCUGAAUCAGUGUGUGUGUUAGUGGAAGCGUCUGGAAAGGCGCGCGAUACAGGGUGACAGCCCCGUACACAAAAAUGCACAUGCUGUGAGCUCGAUGAGUAGGGCGGGACACGUGGUAUCCUGUCUGAAUAUGGGGGGACCAUCCUCCAAGGCUAAAUACUCCUGACUGACCGAUAGUGAACCAGUACCGUGAGGGAAAGGCGAAAAGAACCCCGGCGAGGGGAGUGAAAAAGAACCUGAAACCGUGUACGUACAAGCAGUGGGAGCACAGAGCAAUCUGUGUGACUGCGUACCUUUUGUAUAAUGGGUCAGCGACUUAUAUUCUGUAGCAAGGUUAACCGAAUAGGGGAGCCGAAGGGAAACCGAGUCUUAACUGGGCGUUAAGUUGCAGGGUAUAGACCCGAAACCCGGUGAUCUAGCCAUGGGCAGGUUGAAGGUUGGGUAACACUAACUGGAGGACCGAACCGACUAAUGUUGAAAAAUUAGCGGAUGACUUGUGGCUGGGGGUGAAAGGCCAAUCAAACCGGGAGAUAGCUGGUUCUCCCCGAAAGCUAUUUAGGUAGCGCCUCGUGAAUUCAUCUCCGGGGGUAGAGCACUGUUUCGGCAAGGGGGUCAUCCCGACUUACCAACCCGAUGCAAACUGCGAAUACCGGAGAAUGUUAUCACGGGAGACACACGGCGGGUGCUAACGUCCGUCGUGAAGAGGGAAACAACCCAGACCGCCAGCUAAGGUCCCAAAGUCAUGGUUAAGUGGGAAACGAUGUGGGAAGGCCCAGACAGCCAGGAUGUUGGCUUAGAAGCAGCCAUCAUUUAAAGAAAGCGUAAUAGCUCACUGGUCGAGUCGGCCUGCGCGGAAGAUGUAACGGGGCUAAACCAUGCACCGAAGCUGCGGCAGCGACGCUUAUGCGUUGUUGGGUAGGGGAGCGUUCUGUAAGCCUGUGAAGGUGUACUGUGAGGUAUGCUGGAGGUAUCAGAAGUGCGAAUGCUGACAUAAGUAACGAUAAAGCGGGUGAAAAGCCCGCUCGCCGGAAGACCAAGGGUUCCUGUCCAACGUUAAUCGGGGCAGGGUGAGUCGACCCCUAAGGCGAGGCCGAAAGGCGUAGUCGAUGGGAAACAGGUUAAUAUUCCUGUACUUGGUGUUACUGCGAAGGGGGGACGGAGAAGGCUAUGUUGGCCGGGCGACGGUUGUCCCGGUUUAAGCGUGUAGGCUGGUUUUCCAGGCAAAUCCGGAAAAUCAAGGCUGAGGCGUGAUGACGAGGCACUACGGUGCUGAAGCAACAAAUGCCCUGCUUCCAGGAAAAGCCUCUAAGCAUCAGGUAACAUCAAAUCGUACCCCAAACCGACACAGGUGGUCAGGUAGAGAAUACCAAGGCGCUUGAGAGAACUCGGGUGAAGGAACUAGGCAAAAUGGUGCCGUAACUUCGGGAGAAGGCACGCUGAUAUGUAGGUGAAGUCCCUCGCGGAUGGAGCUGAAAUCAGUCGAAGAUACCAGCUGGCUGCAACUGUUUAUUAAAAACACAGCACUGUGCAAACACGAAAGUGGACGUAUACGGUGUGACGCCUGCCCGGUGCCGGAAGGUUAAUUGAUGGGGUCAGCGCAAGCGAAGCUCUUGAUCGAAGCCCCGGUAAACGGCGGCCGUAACUAUAACGGUCCUAAGGUAGCGAAAUUCCUUGUCGGGUAAGUUCCGACCUGCACGAAUGGCGUAAUGAUGGCCAGGCUGUCUCCACCCGAGACUCAGUGAAAUUGAACUCGCUGUGAAGAUGCAGUGUACCCGCGGCAAGACGGAAAGACCCCGUGAACCUUUACUAUAGCUUGACACUGAACAUUGAGCCUUGAUGUGUAGGAUAGGUGGGAGGCUUGGAAGUGUGGACGCCAGUCUGCAUGGAGCCGACCUUGAAAUACCACCCUUUAAUGUUUGAUGUUCUAACGUUGACCCGUAAUCCGGGUUGCGGACAGUGUCUGGUGGGUAGUUUGACUGGGGCGGUCUCCUCCUAAAGAGUAACGGAGGAGCACGAAGGUUGGCUAAUCCUGGUCGGACAUCAGGAGGUUAGUGCAAUGGCAUAAGCCAGCUUGACUGCGAGCGUGACGGCGCGAGCAGGUGCGAAAGCAGGUCAUAGUGAUCCGGUGGUUCUGAAUGGAAGGGCCAUCGCUCAACGGAUAAAAGGUACUCCGGGGAUAACAGGCUGAUACCGCCCAAGAGUUCAUAUCGACGGCGGUGUUUGGCACCUCGAUGUCGGCUCAUCACAUCCUGGGGCUGAAGUAGGUCCCAAGGGUAUGGCUGUUCGCCAUUUAAAGUGGUACGCGAGCUGGGUUUAGAACGUCGUGAGACAGUUCGGUCCCUAUCUGCCGUGGGCGCUGGAGAACUGAGGGGGGCUGCUCCUAGUACGAGAGGACCGGAGUGGACGCAUCACUGGUGUUCGGGUUGUCAUGCCAAUGGCACUGCCCGGUAGCUAAAUGCGGAAGAGAUAAGUGCUGAAAGCAUCUAAGCACGAAACUUGCCCCGAGAUGAGUUCUCCCUGACUCCUUGA